rnacentral:rRNA from 1 species
UUUUGUAUAAUGGGUCAGCGACUUACUGUUCGUGGCAAGCUUAACCGUAUAGGGGAGGCGAAGGGAAACCGAGUCUGAUAAGGGCGCAUAGUCGCGGGCAGUAGACCCGAAACCGGGUGAUCUAGUCAUGCCCAGGGUGAAGGUGCGGUAACACGCACUGGAGGCCCGAACCCACUCCCGUUGCAAAGGUAGGGGAUGAGGUGUGAUUAGGAGUGAAAAGCUAAUCGAACCCGGAGAUAGCUGGUUCUCCUCGAAAGCUAUUUAGGUAGCGCCUCAUAUGUAUCCUCUCGGGGGUAGAGCACUGUUAUGGCUAGGGGGUCAUCGCGACUUACCAAACCAUUGCAAACUCCGAAUACCGAGACGGACUGUAUGGGAGACACACGGCGGGUGCUAACGUCCGUCGUGAAAA